GAAGCACAAAUAAAAGACACAUGACACAGCCUACAACCCGGUAGAGUUUCUGAGUCUGGAAGAAACUGCUACUGUGAAGCCUUAAACACUUGCUCGCCACUAAUUGAAUCAUGUAAGAUUGCAAUAAAUGCUACACAAUUACUAAAAAGAAAGAUAAGUGCACAUUUCUACAAGACUUCAACGUAUAAAACAGAAAUGAAAUCAUCAUGAUCAGAAAAACAGAUCAUGAAAAUCUUUUGAAAUGUAACACACACUAAUACGAUUAGCAAUAAAAAUAAUUUAGAGGUGGAUUCGGAGAAGGCUAAAAUUCUCUAUAAGCAU